GAUAAACGCUAGCGGCAGGCUUAACACAUGCAAGUCGAGGGGCAGCAUAGAUUGUAGCAAUACAAUUGGUGGCGACCGGCGCACGGGUGCGUAACGCGUAUGCAACCUACCCGUCACAGGGGGAUAAUCCGGAGAAAUCUGGUCUAAUACCCCAUAACAUAUGGAUCGGCAUCGGUUCAUGUUGAAAUUUUCGGAGGUGACGGAUGGGCAUGCGUAGCAUUAGCUUGUUGGUGAGGUAACGGCUCACCAAGGCGACGAUGCUUAGGGGGACUGAGAGGUUUUCCCCCACCACUGGUACUGAGAAACGGACCGGACGCCUACGGGAGGCAGCAGCGAGGAAUAUUGGUCAAUGGGCGCAAGCCUGAACCAGCCAUGCCGCGUGCAGGAUGACGGCUCUACGAGUUGUAAACUGCUUUUGUACGAGGGUAAAGUGGGUUACGUGUAACCUUUUGAAAGUAUCGUACGAGUAAGGAUCGGCUAACUCCGUGCCAGCAGCCGCCGUAA
rnacentral:rRNA from 1 species